rnacentral:rRNA from 1 species
CCCUUAGAUGUUCGGGGCCGCACGCGCGCUACACUGAAGGAAUCAGCACGCCUUUCUCCUUGUCCGAAAGGACUGGGUAACCCGCUGAACCUCCUUCGUGCUAGGGAUUGGGGCUUGUAAUUCUUCCCCAUGAACGAGGAAUUCCCAGUAAGCGCGAGUCAUAAGCUCGCGUUGAUUACGUCCCUGCCCUUUGUACACACCGCCCGUCGCUACUACCGAUUGGAUGGUUUAGUGAGAUCCUCGGAUUGGUCCCGGAGCGGCCUCUGGUCGUGCCGGAGUGCCGAAAAGAAUGUCGAACUUGAUCAUCUAGAGGAAGUAAAAGUCGUAACA